rnacentral:rRNA from 1 species
CCUACGGGAGGCAGCAGUGGGGAAUAUUGCACAAUGGGGGGAACCCUGAUGCAGCAACGCCGCGUGGGUGAAGAAGUACUCCGGUAUGUAAAGCCCUGUCAGCAGGGAAGAAAAUGACGGUACCUGACCAAGAAGCCCCGGCUAACUACGUGCCAGCAGCCGCGGUAAUACGUAGGGGGCAAGCGUUAUCCGGAUUUACUGGGUGUAAAGGGAGCGUAGACGGCAAGGUAAGUCUGGAGUGAAAUCCCGUGGCUCAACCACGGGACUGCUUUGGAAACUGUGUUGCUGGAGUGCAGGAGGGGUAAGCGGAAUACCUAGUGUAGCGGUGAAAUGCGUAGAUAUUAGGAGGAACACCGGUGGCGAAGGCGGCUUACUGGACUGUAACUGACGUUGAGGCUCGAAGGCGUGGGGAGCAAACAGGAUUAGAUACCCGAGUAGUC